rnacentral:rRNA from 1 species
UACGUAGGCAGCGAGCGUUGUUCGGAGUUACUGGGCGUAAAGCGUGCGUAGGCGGUGUCUUAAGUUUGUUGUGAAAUCUCCCGGCUUAACCGGGAGGGUGCGGCGAAUACUGAGAUGCUGGAGUGCCGGAGAGGUAAGCGGAAUUCCUGGUGUAGCGGUGAAAUGCGUAGAUAUCAGGAGGAACACCCGUGGCGAAAGCGGCUCUCUGGAACGGUACUGACGCUGAGGAGCGAAAGCAUGGGGAGCGAACAGG